rnacentral:rRNA from 1 species
UACAGAGGUCCCAAGCGUUGUUCGGAUUCACUGGGCGUAAAGGGUGCGUAGGCGGUAGGGUAAGUCUGUUGUGAAAUCUCCGAGCUUAACUCGGAAACUGCAAUGGAUACUAUCCGACUAGAGGAAUGGAGGGGAGACUGGAAUACUUGGUGUAGCAGUGAAAUGCGUAGAUAUCAAGUGGAACACCAGUGGCGAAGGCGAGUCUCUGGACAUUUCCUGACGCUGAGGCACGAAAGCCAGGGGAGCAAACGGG